CAGAAACUGACGUUGAGGCACGAAAGUGUGGGGAGCAAACAGGAUUAGAUACCCUGGUAGUCCACACCGUAAACGAUGGAUACUAGGUGUAGGUGGUGAUAAGCCAUCUGUGCCGUCGCAAACGCAAUAAGUAUCCCACCUGGGGAGUACGGCCGCAAGGUUGAAACUCAAAGGAAUUGACGGGGGCCCGCACAAGCAGUGGAGUAUGUGGUUUAAUUCGACGCAACGCGAAGAACCUUACCAAGGCUUGACAUAUACAGGAAUAACUUAGAGAUAGGUUAGCUCUUCGGAGCUUGUAUACAGGUGGUGCAUGGUUGUCGUCAGCUCGUGUCGUGAGAUGUUAGGUUAAGUCCUGCAACGAGCGCAACCCCUGCUUUCAGUUGCCAGCACGUAAAGGUGGGAACUCUGAAGGGACUGCCGGUAAUAAAUCGGAGGAAGGUGGGGAUGACGCCAAAUCAUCAUGCCCUUUAUGUCUUGGGCUACACACGUACUACAAUGGCCGUUACAGAGAGAAGCAACACAGUGAUGUGAAGCAAAACUUAAAAAAGCGGUCUCAGUUCGGAUUGAAGGCUGAAAUUCGCCUUCAUGAAGUCGGAAUGC
rnacentral:rRNA from 1 species